GCUCGACCCUUGGCCAGCCUCAGACUGCCUUCCAGGCAUGAACCUCACAAGGGAAGCAGAUAAAUUGGCUGCAUUUGAACUUUGUCUCAGAGUCUGCUUCUUAGAAACCCAAACUAAGAUGCUCACUGUCCUUGGUUGGCUUCUCAGCUUCCUCUGUCACCUAUAUAUUCACUUCCUGGCAAUACAGUUCUUCUGUUUGAAACUCCUGGAGGAAUUUUUCUUAUUCUGGUUAGAUGGAACUAGGUACUAAACACCACAAGUAUUCAGGUGAACAAGCAUGAACUUUAUUCUCAAGAGGCUCAUCUACUAUAAGGGAAGACAAAUAAGUUUAUAAGUAUAUAUGUGUGAAGAGACAUUGGAGACAAGAUGGCAGGGUAGGACUUGAGCUCACCUUCUCACAUGAAAACAUUGAAAUCACAACUAACUACAGAAUAA